rnacentral:rRNA from 1 species
GAUGAACGCUGGCGGCGUGCCUAAUACAUGCAAGUCGAGCGAACGGACGAGAAGCUUGCUUCUCUGAUGUUAGCGGCGGACGGGUGAGUAACACGUGGAUAACCUACCUAUAAGACUGGGAUAACUUCGGGAAACCGGAGCUAAUACCGGAUAAUAUUUUGAACCGCAUGGUUCAAAAGUGAAAGACGGUCUUGCUGUCACUUAUAGAUGGAUCCGCGCUGCAUUAGCUAGUUGGUAAGGUAACGGCUUACCAAGGCAACGAUGCAUAGCCGACCUGAGAGGGUGAUCGGCCACACUGGAACUGAGACACGGUCCAGACUCCUACGGGAGGCAGCAGUAGGGAAUCUUCCGCAAUGGGCGAAAGCCUGACGGAGCAACGCCGCGUGAGUGAUGAAGGUCUUCGGAUCGUAAAACUCUGUUAUUAGGGAAGAACAUAUGUGUAAGUAACUGUGCACAUCUUGACGGUACCUAAUCAGAAAGCCACGGCUAACUACGUGCCAGCAGCCGCGGUAAUACGUAGGUGGCAAGCGUUAUCCGGAAUUAUUGGGCGUAAAGCGCGCGUAGGCGGUUUUUUAAGUCUGAUGUGAAGGCCCACGGCUCAUCCGUGGAGGGUCAUUGGAAACUGGAAAACUUGAGUGCAGAAGAGGAAAGUGGAAUUCCAUGUGUAGCGGUGAAAUGCGCAGAGAUAUGGAGGAACACCAGUGGCGAAGGCGACUUUCUGGUCUGUAACUGACGCUGAUGUGCGAAAGCGUGGGGAUCAAACAGGAUUAGAUACCCUGGUAGUCCACGCCGUAAACGAUGAGUGCUAAGUGUUAGGGGGUUUCCGCCCCUUAGUGCUGCAGCUAACGCAUUAAGCACUCCGCCUGGGGAGUACGACCGCAAGGUUGAAACUCAAAGGAAUUGACGGGGACCCGCACAAGCGGUGGAGCAUGUGGUUUAAUUCGAAGCAACGCGAAGAACCUUACCAAAUCUUGACAUCCUUUGACAACUCUAGAGAUAGAGCCUUCCCCUUCGGGGGACAAAGUGACAGGUGGUGCAUGGUUGUCGUCAGCUCGUGUCGUGAGAUGUUGGGUUAAGUCCCGCAACGAGCGCAACCCGUAAGCUUAGUUGCCAUCAUUAAGUUGGGCACUCUAAGUUGACUGCCGGUGACAAACCGGAGGAAGGUGGGGAUGACGUCAAAUCAUCAUGCCCCUUAUGAUUUGGGCUACACACGUGCUACAAUGGACAAUACAAAGGGCAGCGAAACCGCGAGGUCAAGCAAAUCCCAUAAAGUUGUUCUCAGUUCGGAUUGUAGUCUGCAACUCGACUACAUGAAGCUGGAAUCGCUAGUAAUCGUAGAUCAGCAUGCUACGGUGAAUACGUUCCCGGGUCU